rnacentral:rRNA from 1 species
UACAGAGACUGCAAGCGUUAAUCGGAAUUACUGGGCGUAAAGCGUGCGCAGGCGGUUUUGCAAGUCUGUCGUGAAAUCCCCGGGCUCAACCUGGGAAUUGCGAUGGAGACUGCAAGGCUAGAAUCUGGCAGAGGGGGGUAGAAUUCCACGUGUAGCAGUGAAAUGCGUAGAGAUGUGGAGGAACACCGAUGGCGAAGGCAGCCCCCCUGGGUCAAGAUUGACGCUCAUGCACGAAAGCGUGGGGAGCAAACAGG